rnacentral:tRNA from 1 species
AAAGUAGCUCAGUUGGUAGAGCACUUCACUCGUAAUGAAGGGGUCGUGGGUUCAAGUCCCAUCUUUA